GUUGCUAUAGCUUAAUGGUAGAGCAGGAUACUGUUAAUAUCAAGAAGUAGGUUCAAUUCCUACUAGCGACU
rnacentral:tRNA from 1 species